rnacentral:rRNA from 1 species
CAGUCGCCGCGGGAAUACGUAGGUGGCAAGCGUUGUCCGGAAUUAUUGGGCGUAAAGGGCCCGCAGGCGGUUUCUUAAGUUUGAUGUGAAAGCCCCCGGCUCAACCGGGGAGGGUCAUUGGAAACUGGGAAACUUGAGUGCAGAAGAGGAGAGUGGAAUUCCACGUGUAGCGGUGAAAUGCGUAGAGAUGUGGAGGAACACCAGUGGCGAAGGCGACUCUCUGGUCUGUAACUGACGCUGAGGAGCGAAAGCGUGGGGAGCGAACAGGAUUAGAUACCCGCGUAGUCCCUGUCUCUUAUAC